rnacentral:lncRNA from 1 species
UGGGAUGGGGGAGUGGGUAACUCAUACAAAAAGUUGUCCAGGGGCCGGCCUGGUGCUGCGGCGGUUAAGUUUGCACGUUCCGCUUCAGCAGCCUGGGGUUCGCCGGUUCGGAUCCCGGGUGCGGAUGGCACCGCUUGGCCAGCCAUGCUGUGGCAGGUGUCCCACAUAUAAAGUAGAGGAAGAUGGGCACGGAUGUGAGCUCAGGGCCAGUCUUCCUCAGCAAAAAGAGGAGGAUUGGCAACAGAUGUUAGCUCAGGGCUAAUCUUCCGCAAAAAAAAAAAAAAAAGAAAGAAAGAAAAGUUGUCCAUGUUUGAGUACCUAUUAUGAGCCCGGCACUUCACAGUUUAUCUCAUUUCAUCCUCGCCUUAUGAGGUAGGUAAUUUUAUCCCCAUUUUACAGAUGAGCAAAAUGAGGCUCAGAGAGGUGAAGGGUCCUCCAGUUGGGCAGUGAGUCAGGAUUUGAAUCCAAGUCUUUUGUCCAUCUCACUCUGCCAUGCAGCCUGCCUUAAAGGGUGCCAAAUAGGUUGCCACCUGCUCUGCUUCAGUUUUACAGAGUACAAGACAUGCUUUGUGUAUGCCUUUGCAGAGUAGUAUGCACGCACAUGCACACACACACACGCACACCCACACAGCAACCCGCAUGCUUACAGUAGGACUGUAAAAUAAUUACACUGAUUUUUGUCUGCAGGAUCAGUCUCAUCUUCUAAGUCACCCCUUAGCGCUGCAAGCAUGGAGGGGAGGAGGUGGAAGGCUGAGCCUGCGUAUGUGUGUGGGGGGCUGCGGGGGAGUUGAGGGAAUUGAGGAAGCCUCCCCCAUGCUCCCCUGGGGCCAUGUCAUUCUCAAAAGGGAAACAAAGUCUAUUUCCUUGCUCCCACCAGUACAGUAUGUUCCUUUCACAUCUGCACAAUGACCUUGCAACCCGCACCCUCCUCUUCAGCCAUGCUGCCUCCCUCAACAAACAUUGCUCUUUGCAUCCUUUGUUCUUUUGCACCAGUCCCUGCCCCACUAGCCUGGGAUACCCUCCCCACCGCUCUCCAUGCCUCAACUCUCCAAGUCAGUGUUCAAGACUCGCCUCCUCCCAGAAGCCUUCCCUGAUUCUCUCUACCUCUCAUCUUUUUCAUCUGGUCUGAUUUUUUUUUCUUACCUGAAUCCUGAUGCUCUGCUCUCUCGCCUCGUUCUCUAGUUGUUUCUUGGAAGCUGUUUCCUUGACCACACUGGAAGGCCUUUGAGCUCACAAUUUCAGCUACAGAGAAACAAAGGAAAGUCUUUCAAGAAAGACAUGUGGUCAGCUUCCUGUUUCUUCUCAUGGUCCUCUUGCUUCCUCCAUGUUGUCACUUGGGUUUCUAGCUUUGCUGCCACUGACGUCUUUUCUACAAAGAUCAUGAGGUAAAAAGGAGAUUUACAUGUUUACCGUGAUCUCUCCUUUUUAUUUUUUCAUUCCUGUCUUUCAUUUGCCCAGGUGGGCAGAGGGCUAACUGGGGUCUGAAAAGCCUUAAACCACAGAAAAUUCACCCUGAAGCCACUCUCCAGCUUUGCAGGUCUUUUUUCCUAAGCAUUUAUGGGAGGGAAAACAAAAUCUAUUGGGCAUGUUAAUGCCUGUAACACUACCUCCCACUUCCCGCCCCUUUAUCUACUUCACCUCCCCCUCUCCCCCCCCCCCCCCCCCCCCUGCAAACCCCCCCCCAGGCCCCUGCCACACCCCACACACACACUUACAUCUAGAAUGAGACAGCCCAUUUUCCAGAUUUCAGGAACUCCGAGUAGGGACGUGUUGGACAACAAUGUUCCACAGACUCAGAGAUGGUGCCACCUCAUGCCACCAAAGGAAUUCUUUCCACUUGGCAAAAUGCUGGGCAUUGAGGAGUCACCUUAAUCUUCGAGACGUGACAGUUGGGAUAGGUCUCCCCUGCCAGGCCGCAGAGGAUUGAAAAGCAAAGGUUGAAGCCCCCUUUCUCCCCUUGGAAAUUUAAGCUGGGGUGGGGGGAAAGCAGUAUCCUAGCCCUUAAAAAGGCCUAGGCCGCAUGCGCAGCCUUCCAGUGCCUGUCCAUAAAGUCACCAAAAUUAAUUCUAACUCUCUUAGUGUUACGCAGACCUCCCUCCCCGCUGGGCCUGAAACAGGAGAUGCUUCAAGAAUGUGGUACCCCAAUCUGUCUUAUGCAUUCUCACAUAUCCCCCAAGGAGGCAGGACCAAGAAGGUUAUUGCUGCCCCGUUGUACAGAUGGGGGGAACUGAGGCACCGAGGGAGACAUGACUGGUCCAAUUAUCUCUCAGGAAGGGAAAUUCUUUUCCAGCUUUGGGGACCUCCUUAUCCCUGGGGGAGUCCCAGUCACCUCUGCUGCACUGAGGAGUUCUGACAGAGCUUCCGGGAAUGGAGGGGAAGUGGGGAUGGUCCAUUCCUCUCUGUCACUCUAAUUCCUUUAACCAGGUGUCACGGUGGCAUCUUCUUUUCCCUCAGUCUUUUCUGGCACACCACGGGCAGUUCUCCACACUCCCUACCCCUGUGCCCCGCCCACCCCCCGCCCCCCCACUCCCGUUUCCCAAAGGCCUGUCAAGAACCACCCUAUGCCCGGCCACUCCCUUCCCUCAGCUAACUCAGGGACCCAGGCAAAGGCGUCGGGGGCUGGCCCUUCUGAUCCGGCAGGCUGAGAGCCCCAAAUAGCUACAUGGACUAGUGAGAGAGAUGUUCUCAAGAGAAGCCAGACUCCCCAAGUUAGAAUGCUGGCUCUGAGCAUCCUCUCUUGGAGUCAUGGACUUGCCCUUGCCCUUCUAGUUAAAAGGUGCCUGCCUGCCUAUAAGAAAGUGCUGCCCUUGACCCUGGAGAGGAGCAGGCUGUAUUGAUUCACCAAUAUUCUGCCCCAGUCCCCCUUUCAACCAUACAGAUUUGUAUGAUGGAGGAUGAGGGGGAGGAGAAAGGGCUCAUUGUGCAACACAGAUCAGAAUUCAGACUCUGGUCAGGGUUGGGGAGAUUGGUUCGUGUGUGGAGCUGAGGGGUCCACAGCCUGGAUUAACCAGGGGAAGGUUCAGUCUGUGGCCAGGGUGACGGCCAGGAUUAGAAGUCAGGGCAAUUGUCUCAUCUUUGAGGCAUCCUAUUCAAGAAUGUCUAGGCCUGGUUCCUGUCAGGAACGGGGUUUAACUGGAAUCCUUUGUUCUAAGAGGCAGCGAAAGGUCCCUAUAGUUGACUUCAGGGGGCUUGACUUCUAGUCCUGGCUCUGACACUCAGUUUCAUUGUGCCUGGUGGUAAGCAAGUCACUUCCCCUUUUUGAUCCUCAGUUUCUUCAUCUAAACAAUGGGGAAAUCCGUCUUAAUCUCUAGGGUUCCAUCUAGUUCUGAGAAUGUACUACUUUGGGUCUGUGGGAAUAUAGAAAAAGCUGUUCUAUCGAUCUUGUAUGGGGUAAAAAUAAGACAAUGUAAGGGAAAAGAAUCUGAAAAAAUUCCAACUACCAAAGAGAAAUGAAGUACUAUUUUUCCUCCAUUAAAAAUAUAAAAGUAUGGGGGCCGGCCCUGUGGCCAAGUGGUUAAGUCCGCGUGCUCCGCUGGGGCGGCCCAGGGUUCGGAUCCUGGGCACGGACAUGGCACCGCUCGUCAGGCCACGUUGAGGUGGCAUCCCAUAUGCCACAACUAGAAGGACCCGCAACUAGGAUAUACAACUAUGUACCAGGGGGUAUUUGGGGAGAUAAAGCAGAAAAAAAAAAAAAGAUUGGCCACAGUUAUUAGCUCAGGUGCCAAUCUUUAAAAAAAAUAAAAAUAAGAAAUGAAAGUAUGGGCCGGCCCGGUGGCACAGCGGUUAAGAUCCCACAUUCCACUUCAGCCGCCCGGGGUUCGCCCGUUCGGAUCCUGGGUGCGGACAUGGCACUGCUUGGCACGCCAUGCUGUGGUAGGUGUCUCACAUAUAAAGUAGAGGAAGAUGGGCACGGAUGUGAGCUCAGGGCUCUUCCUCAGCAAAAAGAGGAGGACUGGCGGAUGUUAGCUUAGGGCUAAUCUUCCUCGAAAAAAAAAAA